UACGUAGGCAGCAAGCGUUGUUCGGAGUUACUGGGCGUAAAGGGCUCGUAGGCGGCCAACUAAGUCCGACGUGAAAUCCCAAGGCUUAACCUUGGAACUGCGUCGGAUACUGGAUGGCUUGAAUUCGGGAGAGGGAUGCAGAAUUCCAGGUGUAGCGGUGAAAUGCGUAGAUAUCUGGAGGAAUACCGGUGGCGAAGGCGGCAUCCUGGACCGACAUUGACGCUGAUGAGCGAAAGCUAGGGGAGCAAACGGG
rnacentral:rRNA from 1 species